rnacentral:rRNA from 1 species
CGUGUAGGCGGGUCUUUAAGUCAGGGGUGAAAUGCCAAGGCUCAACCUUGGAACUGCCUUUGAUACUGGAGAUCUUGAGUCCGGGAGAGGUGAGUGGAACUGCGAGUGUAGAGGUGAAAUUCGUAGAUAUUCGCAAGAACACCAGUGGCGAAGGCGGCUCACUGGCCCGGAACUGACGCUGAGACGCGAAAGCGUGGGGAGCAAACAGGAUUAGAUACCCUGGUAGUCCGCGCUGUAAACGAUGGAUGCUAGCCGUUGGGGAGCUUGCUCUUCAGUGGCGCCGCUAACGCAUUAAGCAUCCCGCCUGGGGAGUACGGUCGCAAGAUUAAA